AGGACGAACGCUGGCGGCGUGCUUAACACAUGCAAGUCGAACGAGGUCCAAUCAUUCGCAAGAAUGAGGAAUACCGAGUGGCGAACGGGUGCGUAACACGUGAGAAACCUAUCCCAGUCUCUGGAAUAACAGGUGGAAACACCUGCUAAUACCGGAUGCCGUUGGAUCAUCACAUGGUGAACCAACGAAAGAUUUAUCGGAGUGGGAGGGUCUCGCGGCCUAUCAGCUUGUUGGCGGGGUAACGGCCCACCAAGGCUUCGACGGGUAGCUGGUCUGAGAGGAUGAUCAGCCACACUGGGACUGAGACACGGCCCAGACUCCUACGGGAGGCAGCAGUGGGGAAUCUUGCACAAUGGGCGCAAGCCUGAUGCAGCAACGCCGCGUGCGGGAAGAAGGCCCUAGGGUUGUAAACCGCUUUCAGCAGGGAAGAAAUGACGGUACCUGUAGAGAAGGUGCGGCCAACUACGUGCCAGCAGCCGCGGUAAUCUGA
rnacentral:rRNA from 1 species